AUUAAUUCUAAAACAAUUAACAAAGAUUAAAUCCUAAUUAACAAAAUAUUGUCUAAGCAUCAAGAUUAAUAUCUAAUUAAUGAAGCUAAAUCCAAAUUAACAAAGCAUAGGCCUCUUUAAGCAGAAUCGGUUGGGAUUUGCACCCGGAGGCCCAACAGCCUCAGAUCCAAGGCCUGGGGGUGCGUUCAUUACAGGGAGGUGCAAGACAAGUUCUAUUUGGGCCUGAUCCAAACCUCUACAAGGCAUCUACUGAAAGCAGGUAAAAAUGAAAGAAACAGAAAAGCGCUUAUUCACGUCAGCCAAACGCGCUUAUUCACACAAGCGGACAUGCUCUCAGGUUAUGGCUCCUACUUCUACAAUCCAGUACAUCAUCGUGGCAAAUGAAUCUAAGCGUGAGCAUAUGGAUUAAGAGCUACCUGUCGAAGACGACGACGGAGAUGGCGACGAUGAUGACGAAGGUCACGAGCACAACUCCUAUCCACUUCUGAGCGCCUCUCUUCCUCUUCUCUUAAUUCUGAAACGGAUCCAAAGCGUGUGAGCGAUAACAACCUUCAAGUUU